GACGAACCGUCCAAACGUUAUUCGGAAUCACUGGGCUUAAAGGGUGCGUAGGCGGCCCUGUAAGUUGGGUGUGAAAUCCCUCGGCUCAACCGAGGAACUGCGACCAAAACUACAGGGCUUGAGGAAGACAGAGGUGAGUGGAACUUGCGGUGGAGCGGUGAAAUGCGUUGAUAUCGCAAGGAACACCAGUGGCGAAAGCGACUCACUGGGUCUUUUCUGACGCUGAGGCACGAAAGCUAGGGUAGCGAAGAGG
rnacentral:rRNA from 1 species